CCCUUAUCAAGACACUUCCUGGUUGAGUCAGCAAGGAGAAGCAGCCUUCAUCUCAAUUCCCUCAGUGUCUCAGGAAUAUAGUGGGCAGACGAAGAGAACAUGGGCAAGCGUCUCUACAUGUCCUUCAUUGCACCGGCAGAGGCGUUGCUCCAGAGGAACACCCUGAAAUCUACCCUCCAGAAGAGCUGACUCUAAACAAUUGAAACGUGCCUUAGAGUAGGCCAAACGAUAUUUGGGGUUCGUAAGAACCUCCAGGAUAAAAUCCUUGUUAUAAAGGGGGAAAGUUGCUGCUAAUAGUUUGGAUGAGAGCCCCUGCCUUCCAGCACAAACAUUCCCUUCAGACCAGGCAAAGUACAUUUUGAAAAAGAGGUUUGCUGUUCGUACUUUGGAAAGUGCCUUGUUUUUGAACCCAACAAAGUCUCAACGGCAUGUAGGGAUGGGCAUCCUCUGUGUAUAUGAAAGUGAAUUUUGCUAGCUGGCAAUGCAAUCUACGCACUCACUCCUUUGCAUCAGCUACUGACUGCUCCCUCCACUGGUAGAGAACUCCCCAGUCCACCCACCAAACAUGCAGGCAGGUAGAAGUGCCACUGGCGGGAUGCCUGCUAGCAGCCUGUGGAAAGUUCCAGGGUGGAGCCAGGUCUGUUGCAUGAUGGCAUUCAGCCCUGAUUGAUGUACCACCUCCAGCUGGCACAGUGAUCUGCCUGCCCCCUCACCUUCCACUCUAGCCAUCAUGUGCAGCAGUGGUAAAGCCCCACCGGGAUAGGGGUGGGGAGGGUUAGAAUUGCAGCUUACUUGGUGAAUAGCUGCUUGCCCAUGGCUUAGUUGAUUUUCUCAGGAAAAGGAGGACUUAACUUCAUCCUCUGCUGUACAUUUCUGUCGUAUCACAUACCCCUGGAAUUCACAUGGAGCAAAUGAACUUUGGGUCCUACAAGUGAUUUCUCCACAGCUAGAAUAACAUUUAUUUAUUUUAUUUAUCUCACAAUUUAUAAACUGAUCUAAGCAGUGUGCUGAAAUUUAAAUUAUACAAUCAUAUUCUGGUUAUUUUCUCUUCCUCCCCCUCCUCCCCCCUGGGAAUUGGUACUCUGGCAGGGUCAUUUUUCUCUUAGUCAUAUAGCAAAGUCAUUUAUGUGCAACUAAGAUAAUGUUUAAACCUAAAGGGCUCUUGCCUCACAUUCAUGAGAAGGCAUAUGCUUCUAUACUAGCUAACUCUCUGGAAGUCAUGAGAAGGGUGCUGGAAAUGUUAGAUCCAUAAGCUAAACAGGGAACCCCUGGGAUCCAGAAAGAAAGCUGAAAUCCAAGGAACAGGCAUGAGAGGAUUCUUCAGAGAAACAUUAACACCCUGGAGAUGUGAAUGUCUGGUUUAAAGUCUCCUGGAAUUCUCAGAAGACUUGCUCAGUAGUCCCAGAAGCCAUGGAGCCUCCUGGAUUACCUGUGGCCGGAGAGAGUAGUUAGUCCUCUGUGCCUCACCAUUCUACAACAAAACUAGGGCCUCAGCAGGAGCACCACCUGGGAAAUCUUUCAGAGCAGGGGGUGGGGAACCUUUGGCUUCCAGGCCAAUUAAGGCCCUUCAGGGGGUCCCAUUUGGUCCCCAAGACCAUUUUCUACAAACCAUGUCAACCUGCCCACUUGCUGAUGUCACUCGCUGAUGGGCAGGAGGACAGGGUUUGAUCCUGCCUUGGCUGCACAAUCUUGUUCCCAGCAGGGAAAAAUGUUGCACAGUCAAGGGAACAGGAUUUAAUAUUUGCUCAUCAACUGCGUGGUGAUCAGAGCCCUGCAUAAAAACAUCCUUAGAAUCACCUUGUGCAUGUGCACACACACUAUCUACUUCAAAGAGGCUUUUGCAAAGGGUUUAAGACAGCUCCUGUGCUCCCAUUUUCUCAAACAGGAGGGCAGGGGCUGUCAUAAAAAUCUAAGUUUCCUCAGUUGAGAACUUAAAGGUGGAUUGGGGGAGAUCUGCAAAAGUGUUUUCCGAGUCUCCCCAUGUUAUCCUUUUAAUUCUUUCUGAUUGGGGAUUUAAAGGGGGGGAGGGCUUGCAAGGCAAAUCCUGAUUAGGAUCUAGACCAUGGAGCCAAAAAAGGUUAGUCACCCCUGCUCCAGAACAUUCAGGAAUCCAUCAGAUUCCAUCCAUCUUCAGGGGUAGACCAACCUAACUGGUCACCACCCCUGCAGGAGGGGGUGGGUCACAGCUAGUCCAACCUUUACCAGUGAGUGAUCCAUCCAUGACAAUGGGGUGAUAAUGAUCAUCACACCCAUAUGUGAAUUUUUUUGGGGAGGGGGUCACCACUUGCAUUUUGCACAAAACCAGAAAGCUGAUGCACUGCACCCCAGAAGUGAUGUACAAAGACAAUAUCCUUGUAGGAAAAAAUUACAAGUAAACCUGUUUUGGACCAAGGUCCUUUUCUGUACUCCUGAGAUGAGCUGGCACUUCCUGUUUGUAUGUUGUUGCUGUUCUCACAUAAUUGUUUUAUUGCACUGUUUAUGCUGCUUAGGUUUUGUAAAAUAAUAAUAAUAAUUUGUUGUUGCUGCUGUUGAUGUUAUAGAUCUAUUGCCCAAUGCUUCACCAGUAGGUCCCAAGGCAGGUUACAUAAAUUUAAAAUAUAGUAUGAACUUAGGGAAGGAGGUGGUCUUUCAGAUAUUUGGGGCCUAAGUUGUUUAGGGCUUUCCACAGUAACAUGAGCACCUUGAACUGGCCCAGAAACAAAUUGGCAACCAAUGCAACUGUUUUAAAACAGGAGUUA